rnacentral:rRNA from 1 species
GAUGAACGCUAGCUACAGGCUUAACACAUGCAAGUCGAGGGGCAGCGGUAUCGAAAGCUUGCUUUCGGUAGCCGGCGACCGGCGCACGGGUGAGUAACGCGUAUCGAACCUGCCUCAUACUCGGGAAUAGCCUUGCGAAAGUAAGAUUAAUGCCCGGUGUUUUCAGAGUCCCGCAUGAGGCUUUGAACAAAGAUGUAUCGGUAUGAGAUGGCGAUGCGUCCCAUUAGCUUGUUGGCGGGGUAACGGCCCACCAAGGCAUCGAUGGGUAGGGGUUCUGAGAGGAAGGUCCCCCACAUUGGAACUGAGACACGGUCCAAACUCCUACGGGAGGCAGCAGUGGGGAAUUUUGGACAAUGGGCGAAAGCCUGAUCCAGCAAUGCCGCGUGCAGGAUGAAGGCCUUCGGGUUGUAAACUGCUUUUGUACGGAACGAAAAGCCCCGGGUUAAUACCCUGGGGUCAUGACGGUACCGUAAGAAUAAGCACCGGCUAACUACGUGCCAGCCGCCGCAGUAA